rnacentral:lncRNA from 1 species
AAAAUUAAAAAAAAAAAAAAAUAUGAAAAAGAAGUAAUGGAACUUGUCACUUGUAAAUUAUUACAUACUUUAACCUCUAUCUUGAUGGCAUUGUGUGUUUUGAUUACUUGGAAAUAUAAAUAAAGGUAUAGCGUGAUUGAUUAUCGUCCAGUGGAAACAAUGAAUGCAGGGCAAGGAAACUGUGAAGGUUUCCUUUGGUUUUGACAGAAAUACUAACAAGCAACAGACCUUUUAUUACCGAUCCCUCAAAGAGUUGCU